CCUACGAGUGGCAGCAGUGGGGAAUAUUGGUCAAUGGACGCAAGUCUGAACCAGCCAUGCCGCGUGCAGGAAGACGGCUCUAUGAGUUGUAAACUGCUUUUGUACGAGGGUAAACGCAGAUACGCGUAUCUGUCUGCAAGUAUCGUACGAAUAAGGAUCUGCUAACUCCGUGCCAGCAGCCGCGGUAAUACGUAGGAUUCAAGCGUUAUACGGAUUUAUUGGGUUUAAGGGGUGCGUAGGCGGUCGGUUAAGUUAGAGGUGAAAUCCCGAGACUCAACUUCGGAAUUGCCUCUGAUACUGUUCGGCUAGAGAGUAGUUGCGGUAGGCGGAAUGUAUGGUGUAGCGGGGAAAUGCUUAGAGAUCAGACAGAACACCGAUUGCGAAGGCAGAUUACCAAGCUACGUCUGACGUUGAGGCACGAAAGCGUGGGGAGCAAACAGGAUUAGAUACCCUUGUAGUC
rnacentral:rRNA from 1 species